UAACUAUAGACUUUUUAGUAUUUCCUGGGUUUCUUUAAUCAUUUGGGUCAAUGGAAAUGCAAUAUAUGCUAAAUAUACAGUUAUAUUUAGUCUAUUAAUAAACUAUCUUUGACAGAUUUAAUUUACAAUCGCACUGCCAAAAAUAUAAUAUUGAAUUGUACUGUAUAUCAAAAAUUUUCGUAAUGCUACGUGUGCACCUUUACAGCACGUCCUCUAGUGGAAACGAUUAUGCAUUAUUUACUGGAAUAUAGUUUAUUAUGGUUUAAAAUAAAAAUUAACAGUACGGUGCCGCCAAGUUGAUUGCUUGCUUUAAAAUGCCUGUCGAACAAAUCCAGUACUCUGACAGAUAUUCAGAUAACGUAUUUGAGUACAGGCAUGUUACUUUACCAGCUAACAUUGCAAAGCUUGUCCCGAGGAAUCAUAGUAUGACUGAAACAGAAUGGAGAAAUUUGGGGAUCCAACAGUCUACAGGUUGGAUUAAUUAUCUUCAGCACACUUCAGAACCUCAUGUGGUGUGUUUUCGGAGACCUCUUCAGCGACACGAGCCAUAAGAGGUGCUAUAUCCAUUAUCAUCACUAAUGAAACAAAAUAAAAAUAUUGGAUUAUAAGUUAUAACUUAACCUCACAUUGUAAAUUAAAUAAAUAUCUUUUUUACAGCAGUGCAUGUUUUAAACGUAUGCAAAACUUUUUUUUCUACAGAAUCUUUUGAAAUUUAAUGAAUAACAAUAAACCGUUUUAUUACUGAA